AUUGAACGCUGGCGGCAUGCUUUACACAUGCAAGUCGAACGAGUGGCGAACGGGUGAGUAAUAUAUCGGAACGUACCGAGUAAUGGGGGAUAACCAAUCGAAAGAUUGGCUAAUACCGCAUAUUAUUCGAGCGGCCGAUAACUGAUUAGCUAGUUGGUGGGGUAAAGGCCUAACAAGGCGACGAUCAGUAGCGGGUCUGAGAGGACGAGGCGCAACAUUGGGACUGAGAAACGGCCCAGACUCCUACGGGAGGUAGCAGUGGGAAAGUUUUGACAAGGGGGGCAACCCUGAUCCAGCCAGGCCGCGUAUAGAAGGAAGGCCUUCGGGUUUUAAAGUACUUUUGUUAGGGAAGCGGUACCUAAAGAAUAAGCAACGGCUAACUACGUGCCAGCCGCCGCGGUAAUAC
rnacentral:rRNA from 1 species